rnacentral:rRNA from 1 species
GGUAGCCCACGCCCUAAACGUUGCGAACUAGGUGUUGGUGGGAUUGACCCCAUCAGUGCCGCAGCUAACGCAUUAAGUUCGCCGCCUGGGAAGUACGGCCGCAAGGUUAAAACUCAAAGGAAUAGGCGGGGCCCGCACAAGCAGCGGAGCGUGUGGUUUAAUUCGAUGUGACGCGAAGAACCUUACCUGGGCUUGACAUGUUUCGGCAACCUCGGUGAAAGCCGGGGGCCUCUCGCAAGAGACCGUUGCACAGGUGGUGCAUGGCUGUCGUCAGCUCGUGCCGUGAGGUGUUGGGUUAAG